UCCAGCCACCGCCCUGCUGAAAACCUUCCAUGGCUCCCUGGUGCCUAAAGUGUACUUCUCAAGCUGUAUUGUGUCUUGGAUUUGCCUGUAGCUCUAAAAGAUCAGCCCCUCCCAAGUUGCAGCUCAGAGCCAGUCAUCAGAUCCCUAUGACGGAACCCAAGGACCUGAAUCUUUAACUCACUCCGCAGAGAUGGAGUCUUGGUAUGUUGGCCAGGCUGGUCUCAAAUUCCUGGGCUCAAGUGAUCCUCCCGCCUCAGCCUCCCGGAUUGCUGAGACUGCAGGCCUCUUUCGGGUGGUCAUUCUGGCUGGCUGCAGGAGCCUCUUGGAAGAUGCAAAUGGAUGAAACAACAGAAAACUGUGCUGCAAAAGGCCGAUGCUCUGUGUAUGGCCUCUCAAAAGAUGUGAAACUAGGGGGAAAAACAAUACCGUUCUUACCCUUUUCCUGGGCACCGCAGAGCCCUGUGAUUCUGCUCACACCUGCAAUCACCACCGCCUGAUGUUCCGCUCUCAGAUGCCCCAGGGACUAUCCAGCCUGCAAGCCCAGGGCCUGUGUCCUGAGUCAGUAAUCAGCUUCCCCUCUGGAUUCACCUCUGAAUUCCAAAAUGGGUUGUCUGGGAACUUCAUCAACUUCAUGACUUCCAUGUUCAAUGGGAAAGUCAGCCUGCCUGGCCAAAGCAACAGUGAAAUAUGGGUUAACGUUACAACAAUGUAAUGCUGAUUUAGAUGUCAGUUUAAUAGAUGAUGGGUGGUAUUAGAAAGCACCUUCAGCCGGGCACGGUGGCUCGCGCCUGUAAUCCCAGCACUUUGGGAGGCCGAGGCGGGCAGAUUGCCUGAGGUCAGGAGUUCAAGACCAUCCUGGCUAAUAUGGUGAAACUCUGUCUCUACUAAAAAUACAAAAAUUAGCCGGGCGUGGUGGCUGGUGCCUGUAGUCCCAGGUACUUGGGAGGCUGAGGCAGGAGAAUUACUGGAACCCAGGAGGCAGAGGUUGCAGGGAGCUGAGAUCACGCCACUGCACUCCAGCCUGGGCAAGAGGGCAAGACUGUCUCCAAGAAAAGCAAAAGAAAAAGGAAAAAAAAAAAAGAAAAGAAAGCGCCUUCAAGGCCAUCUGUUUCUCUGCUACUACCCUUUUUGGAAAGACAAAUCUCCUUCCCCUCCCUGUCCUCCUUCCUUCUACAUUCCCCUAGGGCUGUGUACCUCUCUCUCAGCGUGCCCUGCCUUGGUGCCUCUGUGGCAGGGCCAGGUCUGACUUCCCAGAUGAGCUUGCUCUCCUAAGCUGCAUCAUUGCAUGACUCUCCUCUUUCCUAACCUCCCUCACUCCUCCAGCUCCCUUCUGCUGGUGAAUGACAUCUCUUCACGCCACACAGUCACAGGACGGCUGCUCCACCACCGGCAUCACAUCUCCUUUCCAGGCAGGAAGAAGAGGAAGGAGGAAGAGACAGGACAAAGGUGGUCUUUCUUCCAGUAAAGCUUUGACUUUUUAUCUAGAAAACAUUAUCUCUGAGCUUUUCACCUACAUUUCCUUGGCCAGACCUGGGUCACGUGGUCACCUCUAAUUGAGAAGAUGAGUAUUUCAGAGGGACACAUUUUUGUUCCCUCCCAAAUCAGGGCUGUGUUAGGAAGAAAGCGGGAAUGGGUCCUGGGAAGGCAGCUCGCAGUAACUCCACACAGUCUGUCCCUUUGCUAUCCAGCACUCACGCAGCCCUUCCCUCAGACACAGAAAACAUCAGUGUCUCCCAAGGCAAACAGCCAGAAUCCCAUCUUGCUACUUCCAGGGCAGGCUUCUUUGUAAGGUGCAGGUGGGGCGCCCUGUGGUCCUGUGACCUUGAAACUCAAAGACAAGUUAUCUGCCCCGACAUACUCAGGAUCAGUGGUUGGUUAGAAACAGGAAAAGUGCAGUACAGCUUCCAUCCAGCAACACGGAAAGGGAUGCACACAGCAGUCGCUGGAGCAGGAAGUCCUGCUGAGUGAGGACGCCUGGCUUCCUGGGUACCAUCUAGCACCCUGCUCUGCUCUCAGGAAGAUGUGCCAGAGCCAUUGCCUUCUGCAGACUCAGCUCUGCCCUAUUCUCCUUAUUCAUUAUUCUCCAUGGGGUGGGUCUUGAGGGGAUACGCCAUUUCUGGGGGCCACACGGCUUCCUGUUGGUGUGAGUCUGGAGUCCUGGGGGUGGCUUCAAGUAUUGGCUGUUACUCACCAACCUUGCAUUCUUUUGGAGAAUACAUUUACUCAAAAACUUGGUUGGCUUCCAGUCUUCUAAUUUUAUUUAUUUAUUUUUGUGGUCAGUUCCGAUAGCGGCCUCUAUUUGGUGGUUGGAGGUCAACUUGUGACCCCUGCUGCCCUCUGGAGUCUCAUUUUCAAAUGAUGUCUCCUGAGGUUGAAUCUGAUUGGUGGAGUGAGGUCACAUGCCUGUGCCCUGGCUGCAAAGGAGGCUGGGAGGGAAGUUUUCUCUGUUCUACUUCAGGGACAUGGGACUCUCAAGAUGGGAAAUGCCCCCAAACAGAGCCAGUAUAUUCUACAGAUAUGAGGCAGCCAGAAAACAGGAGGGGAACCGGGCGUGGUGGCUCAUGCCUCUAAUCCCAGCACUUUGGGAGGCUGAGGUGCGCAGAUCACUUGAGCCCAGGAGUUUGGGACCAGCCUGGGCAACA
rnacentral:lncRNA from 1 species